AACAAAUUGUUUCAGGUCUUCUAAAUCUGUUUUGGGUGUAACCCGUUUGUUU
rnacentral:tRNA from 1 species